UGGUCCCCUGUCGUGACACAUCUAAUCAAAGCAGCCGUACGGGGGGGGUCUGGACUUCACUCCGUGUUUGUCUCAACAGUCUCCGUGGUCCCGUCGGCCACUCUGCGUGCUCACACCCGCAUUCGCUGACCUUGACAUUCCUCUACGUUCUCACAUUUUCCUGCAUAAAUGAUAUCUAAAACCAGGCCACAGCACUGAAUCUGUCAGAAACUGCGGUUCAGGAGGCUGACCAAAGUGCAGUGACGAUGCCGGUGGGGCGUGGGGUCUUUGGCAGCAGUAGACCCCGCCCAGGCCCCAUGAUGAGGCCGCCAUCGUUAAUGAGCUCCUAAUACCCCGGGGCCCCCGGGGUAACGGCUGAUUUCUCCUGGAUAGCGGCUCUUCAUUAAAUGUUGAUUUUCUGUCGCGAGGAAUCCCUACCAAUUUAACAGCGGCCAUUUUCUGAGCCCAUGGCUCUCUUCAUUCGUUUAUUUGGUUUAUUUCAUCACUUAUUUAAUGCGCGGCACAAUUUUUUAUCGUUAAUGGCAGUACGGCGAUCCAGCAAGCGCAGACGGGCUCCGUGCACCCCGCCCCGCUGGGCUCUCACUGAGUUCCUGACAAGGCGGCCGGCUCCACAGUCGGGUGAUUGAUUGGGAGCGGCUGAGCUAAGAAAAAAUCCAAACUCAAUCUGGGGGGAGGCCCGGGAUGAUCAGAGACAGCCUCCCGCCUCUCAGGGACUCACUUUCUGUUUACAUGCUCCAGGAUCGAAGAUGACAGUGCAGAUCCAUCCAGGUGUUGCGCUGUAACUCCCAGAAUUCCCUUCUCCCUUUUUCGAUGUUCUCUGAGAUGACAAUUUGGCUGUUACCACCAUCACCACGAAGGGCUUUUCGUGUCUCUACGCUUCGGGGCUCUCUCUCUGUCCUGCUUUUAUUUUGACUCGUCCUCUUCCUCCCCGUAUUAUUUCUGCAGAAUGUUCUACAGUGACAGCGUGGCUAUGUGGGGAAGUGAGCAGAGAGGCGGGGUACAGGAGAAGGCUCUGAAAUCUGUGGUCUCGCUGCCCUCAGCCACUCACCAGUGCAGAGGGUGGACUGACAUGCGUUAAUGGAGGGGGAUCUGAGGCAACUGGAGGUCCCAGUGGAGAUAGAACCCUGAAGUAGGGUGGGGUGGCACCAGUACAGCUGUUUAGAUGGAAUAAUAAAAAAAAAUCUGAAUUUGUUUCAGACUGGUUAACAAAAACCACAAAGGUGAUACCUGUUUGUUAGGCUUUUAUUUUGAACAUGCCAGUGAGGCAGCUAACAUAAGGAAUAAAAGUGACACCAAUUUGUGAGGCCUAUAUUUUGAAGCUCGGUUUCAUACAUGUCAGCAAGGUGGCUAACAGGAGCCAUUAAAGUGACUGCCAUUUUUGAAGCUUUUAUUUUGAAGCUCUGGCUUUUACAUGUCAGUGAGGCAGCUAACAGGAAGUAUAAAAGUGAGAUAUUUAUGAGGCUUUUAUUUUGAAGAUGGGUCUUGCCCAUGUUGCAGAGGCAGCUAAAGAAGACAUAAAAGAGACUUUCCGUGUUGGUGAAGUAGUUAAUGGGAGGAGUAAUUGUGACACCUGUUUGUGAGGCUUUUAUUUUGAAGCUGGGUCUUGUAUAUGUCAGUAAGGGGACUAACAGGUGGUGUAAAAGUGGCCCUGGUUGUGAGGCUUUUAUUUUGAUGUUUCCCACUUCACCAUCCCACUUUCAUCAGCAUCAGAGCUGUGGCCGCCUUGUGUAGCCGGGGGUUAUCCGCAUACUGUAAUGCCUGUGCUCAGCACGUCAUCUGUGUUGAACAGGCCUGCAUUUCCACAUCACGCUUUUUCCUCUGUCUGUGAUGCCUAACAGGUGCCAGCUGAAAUAAAAAGGCUCAACAUCGUUUGCUCCUGAAAUUAUUGCAUGAGACUGAGACUGGUCAUCAGAGUUUGGUGGGGGUGGGGGUCUUUGGCUCUAAGUCCAGGCCAUGGUGCUUGUACACGCGUGUCCCUGUGCUGGUAUUUAUGCCCACCCGCAUGCCAGCAGCCCGCUGUGAUGAGCCUGCUGGGGGCGCCAUGUUAACCAGGAAGCCAGCCGGCCUGCCAGAUGUUCCAUCUCUGCUCGGGCCUGUCGGAGAUGAUGCCCCAGAGUGCCACCCAGUGGAAAGAGGGAGUCACUUCUCCAAAAACAGGCCCCCCACUGUGAGCCCGGUUCCGGUACCAGCAUCAUGGGCCUUACGUAGGAUAUUAACACGUGGAGAGGAUUCUGGAAGGUUGCCGGGCCGUUCCUGGUUAGGCUACAUUCAUGGACAGGCUGCAUGCAUCUGCGGACCCUAUGGAUGACCGGGCUCGUCUUGGUCAGUGUGCCAGCUCUGUGGAGAAGGUGCAAAUCCUGGAAUGAGGAAGUGCAGUUGUACUCUUACCCAGGUUUGUUAACCGUGCUUUGCUUAGCAUCCAGCUGAAAUGAGGCGGCGAUGGAGAAGGUCAAGACAUGCCACUCAUUCUGAGCUGAAUUACGAGAAUAAAUAAUGUGCGCUGAUGUCGCUAAUUAACGUUUUAGUGGGCUCGCCGCGUCCCGUCAUGACUGCGAGCUACUGCAGGAGGGCGGGUCCGGCGGAUGCAAAAUGCCAGAGGAAAGGUCGGCUCCGACGGGGUGAUCCAUGGCGCAGGACAGCGGGAGCCGCUCGCACCAUGAUCACAAAGAGAACCGGCACUUGGUCCUGGAGAGGUCCCGCUCCCGCCAUAAUGGAAACCCGUCCGGCCGGUGACCUCAGCCAGAUCUCGCCAGCCUCGGCCAGCCUCACAGGAAGGAAUCUGACGUGUGCCAAAGAUGGAGCUUGGGGGGGGGGGCAUCUGGAGUGAAGGGAACUGCGGGGUGAACCCGUGGGUCCGAAUGGGACGGCUUGAGGGGCUGACAAACGCAGAGGUCCAGGAUGGCCGUAGGGGAGCAGACCGUCAUCGACCAGCUGAUGGUCUGGCGGUCUCAGCAUAUUUAUUUAUUCCUACUGUGGCUUUGUUUGCAAAGGACAUGUUUAAUUACGCCUGCAGUUGAUUUUAAUCUCCUUUCCAUUUUUAUUUGCUUGUUUGCUCUCUGUCUGGCACGCUCACUUGCCCAUCUGUCCCGCUUGGUGAAGCUGACUGACUUGUGCUGGUUUACCGCCGGCUGACUUUCAGCUUACUCAAUCAGCAGCAGAACAAAAAAAAAAAGAAACAGGAAAAAAGAACAGUCAGGUAACUUCAGGUCUGAAGUUUUACAGCUUUUGUAUUCUCUAUAGACCUUUGCCCCAAACAGAGACAUCUUGCCAUCAGGACGUUCACCACAGCUGCAUUUUUCUUUGCGAAACCUUCAUCUCCCUGCCCCAAAAAGGUCUCCUCCAUUUCGACAUCCUGGCCUGUAUGUCCAACUCUCUACCUUCCAUGGAGAGUCUGCCGUUAUCCACUGCACGUCAUUUAUAUCUACGCUGAGACGCAUUGUGUAAAUGAGAAUUACGACGACAUGUACAUGCUGUGUGGAGGAGGAUCCUCACGUUUGCUUCGUUAUGGUGUUUCUGCUACCUUGAGGGUGUCUCUGUUGGCAAUCCCCAAGGAGUACGUGGGUUACUUCUGCUACAUGUAACAGAAAGGAGAUGCAGGAGGUGAAUGUGGACUUGAGAUGGACACCCUUGGUGCCGGCCCAGAGCUUGCAGAUGAAAAGAUGCAGCUCUCAGACUCCCAGUUACUCUUGCUGGGAACAAUUCCAUCGAGAAGGUGAGGCUCUUCAUCUGCCGAUGUUUGUCAAGGUGCGUCUUCAGAACCUGCACGCGGCGUCUCACGGCGAGCAGGGCACCUCCCCCUGCGGGGAAAUCCGCUCCUCCACUGGCUGAGGACUCGCAUGUGGGGGCUCCAUACACUAAGCCAAGGCAAGACGUGGAAGAGGAAGCGAUGAGGCAGCUGUGGGCCGUGUUAUGAGGAGGUAGCAGGGUCAGUAGUGGGUGCUGCUGUCUCCUCAGAUGAGAUUUAGGAUCCAGGCCUUCUAAACGUUUCCUAUCCCUGAUCCUUUUGAUUCGAGAGCAGAGCACUGCACCUCACUGGAAAACCACCAUUCCCUGGAUGGGCAUCAAGUGUGGGGGGGUGAAUUUGUAAAGGCCUGAGACUGUUUCCAGAGGUGCCCCCCACCCCGGGUCUAGCCAUAAAUAGAGCCAGCAGCAGAGAUUUAAGUGCGCGGUUUAAGGCGUGACACACCGUUCACCCCCCCCCCAGCUCGCCCUCUCACUGAUGGGCUGGUCUCCAGCAACUAAAGAGAGUUUUUAUUAAUGUGGUUUUGUGUGUUUAUGUGUCUCGAGACUCUUGCAUUUCCCUGCCCCGUGAAGCUGAUCCAUUCAAAAAGUGAGAUAAAUUAAUUCUGUCGACACACAGGAACACCGUCGAGUUCAACAGCCCACAGCGAAAUACAAUAAGCAAUUUGAGCUGAGCGCAUUUUCCAGAUGUCUCGAAAAAUUCUGCGGAAAAUCUGAUAUUUCUCCCCGUAAAGGAAGGCCAUUAGGAGUCACAUCGCAGGACGGGCGGCAGCAAGGGGGGGGGGGGCUCCAGGCCUUUGUCCGCCUGUUUACCGUGGUGCGAUACCAUCGUCGCCUACACCCUAACCGUUCAGCGCAGCGCAGAUUCACGUCGCCGCAUCCCAUCACGAGUUGCCGGGGGUCAUGCCAGCCGGCCUUGCCCUCCCCCGUUGUGAAACAGAGUCGAGGCUUUUCCUUGCGCUGCCGGCUUGUGGAGCAGGAGGAACAAAUCAGGAAGUCCAGGCAUAUAUAGAAACAGUACAAAAUACUUAUUUAAGAAGUCUGUUAAAAACAGUAUCGUCAUCAAGUGAUUAAAUAGCAGUUAAUCGAUUGACAAUUGAGCUUUUCCAGAUGAAAAAAACCUGAGGACUACGAACAAUGGGAAGAAUCCUCAGCGAGCCCCGGAAACUAGAUCCGAGCCGGAAUGACCCUGGAAUGUCUCUGCCUUACGUGAUAUUAGGAAGACAGCUGUCAUUUUCCUGCCUGGACCCAGCCGGCGUGUACGCUCGCUCGCUCGCUCGCUCGCUCUUGCUCUCCUGAGCCUCCAGGACGCAGGAUAGCUGCCACGCUGCCAUACCCAUGUUCAGACCUCUGCCAUAACCGAAUCCCGCUGACUGCGACUUGGCUGGGGGCCGGGGUCAGUCUCAGAAUGCCAUUCAUUUGCUUUUCUUGUGUGUUUAUUAUGUCACAAAAAUGGACGCCAACCUUUUGAUGAAUUAAACUGUGUAUAAGUAGAAUUUCGAUAGAGUUGUGCCAUUGGUAGGGUUGUUUACCCAGGUGGGGUGGGGUGGGGGGUGGUUUCUAUGACGAUGGAAUCACAUUUCAAACGGUGCACUUUAACCCGCUGUAGGCUGCCAGUUUGAUUUUUAGGUUUUAUUAAGAAAAGGUGGCGUCGGCACACUUGCCGGCUGUGCGUCUCUAGGGAGUGCGGUGCGACUCGGACACACGCAGAGAGGAGACGUGGAAACAUGAAGAACGGGGAAACUCCCAAUGACCUGAUUAAACAUGGCUCACGCUGUUAUGACCGCCAUGUCAUAUUGUCCUAAAACACUGUUUUGAUUUGUAACAUCUGUUUCUUUUUUGUCCUUAAUAAAAAGAAGGGGGUAUGCA